rnacentral:rRNA from 1 species
AGUAACGGCGAGUGAAGCGGCAAAAGCUCAAAUUUGAAAUCUAGCACCUUCGGUGUCGAGUUGUAAUUUGAAGAUGGUAACCUUGGAGUUUGGCUCUUGUCUAUGUACCUUGGAACUAGGAUCGUCAUAGAGGGUGAGAAUCCCGUCUGAUGAGAUGCCCAUUCCUAUGUAAGGU